rnacentral:rRNA from 1 species
UACAGAGGUCUCAAGCGUUGUUCGGAUACAUUGGGCGUAAAGGGUGCGUAGGCGGCGCGGUAAGUCGGGUGUGAAAUCUCGGGGCUUAACUCCGAAACUGCAUUCGAUACUGCCGUGCUUGAGGACUGGAGAGGAGACUGGAAUUUACGGUGUAGCGGUGAAAUGCGUAGAUAUCGUAAGGAAGACCAGUGGCGAAGGCGGGUCUCUGGACAGUUCCUGACACUGAGACACGAAGGCCAGGGGAGCAAACGGG